rnacentral:rRNA from 1 species
GACGAACGCUGGCGGCGUGCUUAACACAUGCAAGUCGAACGGCAAGGCCCUGCGUUUGUGGUGUUACCGAUUGGCGAUCGCGUGAGUGUCACGUGUGUAUCCUGCCCUUGUCUUUCGGGUAACUUCACGAAACUGGGGCUAAUAUACGAUAGGAUCUCUUGCACCAUGGUGGGCAGGGGAAAGUUUCGGCGUUAGGGGUUGGACUGGCGGCUUAACAGCUUGUUGGUGGGGUAGGGGCUUACCCAGCCUGUGACGGGUAGCCGGCCUGAGAGGGUGACCGGCCGCAUGGGGACUGAGGGACGGCCCAGACGGCUACGGGAGGCAGCAGUGGGGAGUAUUGCAGAAUGGGGGGAAGCCUGAUGCAACAGCGCCGCGUGCGGGAUGACCGCCUUCGGGUUGAAAACCGCUUUCGCCUUUAACGAAGCGUGAGUGACGGUAAUGAGUAAAGAAGCACCGGCUAACUACGUG